UACAGGGGGGGCAAGCGUUGUUCGGAAUUACUGGGCGUAAAGGGCGUGUAGGCGGCUUAGCAAGUCAGAUGUGAAAUCCCGGGGCUUAACUUCGGAGGUGCAUUUGAAACUGCUAGGCUAGAGUGAAGUAGAGGUUGGUGGAAUUCCCAGUGUAGAGGUGAAAUUCGUAGAUAUUGGGAGGAACACCGGUGGCGAAGGCGGCCAACUGGGCUUUAACUGACGCUGAGGCGCGAAAGCGUGGGGAGCAAACAGG
rnacentral:rRNA from 1 species